rnacentral:rRNA from 1 species
CCUACGGGAGGCAGCAGUAGGGAAUCUUCGGCAAUGGGCGAAAGCCUGACCGAGCAACGCCGCGUGAAUGAAGAAGGCCUUCGGGUUGUAAAAUUCUGUUAUAAGGGAAGAAAGGUGAUAGGAGGAAAUGACUAUCAAUUGACGGUACCUUAUGAGAAAGCCACGGCUAACUACGUGCCAGCAGCCGCGGUAAUACGUAGGUGGCAAGCGUUAUCCGGAAUUAUUGGGCGUAAAGAGCGCGCAGGUGGUUAAUUAAGUCUGAUGUGAAAGCCCACGGCUUAACCGUGGAGGGUCAUUGGAAACUGGUUGACUUGAGUGCAGAAGAGGGAAGUGGAAUUCCAUGUGUAGCGGUGAAAUGCGUAGAGAUAUGGAGGAACACCAGUGGCGAAGGCGGCUUCCUGGUCUGCAACUGACACUGAGGCGC